GCUAUUGGAAACCGAGGGGGGAAUUUGUCGAGGCGUACGGAGGGGAUGUGACUGGUGCACACUCGUCAUCCUGUUUUGUCGAACCAGGCUCCGGCCACCCUGGGGUUACAACCUGGCACAAGACAAGUCAAGUCACUCUUCUGCCUGCAGGUUUCCCCCGGUUUUUGUUUCGCUAGAGGCGGUUCUUUGCCCCCUGACCUCCUGCAGCGCUCGGCGGUUGGUGGUGGGCUGAGCCCUCCAGACACUGUGGGAGAGAACUCGGGGAGCACUAACACACCGAACUUGUUUGAAUUUGCCCAUUGCUAUUCCAAACAGGCUUUCUCUGCUGAGACUCGUCCCUUGCUGCUGCACGUGUUGAUUCUGCAGGGAUCCAACGAUGGGACCGAGCUCCUCCGGUGCCAGUGCUGCAGGUGGAGAGUGCCGGGGAAGCAGAGGAGCUUCCUGAGAGCGGGAUGUUUCAAAGGAGAGAGGAGGCACAGCCGACGUGACCCGCUCCCAGCCUGGGCCAGUUGAACACAGGGGAACUGACAGACGAAGACCGGCAGCCCCGCGGCGGGUUGGUGUCGGUGUGGCACACCAGGCAUCCCCAGUGUAAGAACACUCUUGGAGGUUGUUAUAUUAUCUACAUAACGAAGCUCAUCUGCACGCCAGAAAAUAUGAAAGCGAGAGCAUAACUACUCCGCCAACAAUGGAACACCACUCAUUCCUCUGGCAGUGUCAUAAACAGCUGUAUUUUCAACUGACUUCUUACAUAAAAGCCAGGAGCUGCAGCAAGUCAACGGCUGCAAAGAUUAUUGUGUACACUAUAUAUGUGUGUGUAUUUUUUAUAUAUAUAUAUAUAUAUGUAUACGUACAAUAAUUCCCCGUAUGGAGAAGGCAUGAUAAAGGACAAGAAUCAACCACUCCAUAUGCCUCCAAGUCCCAUUGCUCUCAGCCAGUAGUACAUUUUCAUUGUGUUUUAUAGGCAGGAUUUACAGAUGAAGUUACUGACCUCGUGCAAGUCCAAGGUUCACAAACAAGUAUCUGCCACUCCUGGGAAGGAAGCGCAGCUCCCUUUCAGGGGUUAUUAAAUCCUAUAGCACUGCUCUGUUUGUGUGACACCCUGCAGCUGUUCGGUUAACCACA